rnacentral:rRNA from 1 species
GACGAACGCUGGCGGCGUGCUUAACACAUGCAAGUCGAACGGAAAGGCCCUGCUUUUGUGGGGUGCUCGAGUGGCGAACGGGUGAGUAACACGUGAGUAACCUGCCCUUGACUUUGGGAUAACUUCAGGAAACUGGGGCUAAUACCGGAUAGGAGCUCCGGCUGCAUGGUGGUGGUUGGAAAGUUUCGGCGGUUGGGGAUGGACUCGCGGCUUAUCAGCUUGUUGGUGGGGUAGUGGCUUACCAAGGCUUUGACGGGUAGCCGGCCUGAGAGGUUGACCGGGGACAUUGGGACUGAGAUACGGCGCAGACUCCUACGGGAGGCAGAAGUGGCGAAUAUUGCACAAUGGGCGGAAGCCUGAUGCAGCAACGCCGCGUGCGGGAUGACGGCCUUCGGGUUGUAAACCGCUUUCGCCUGUGACGCAGCGUGAGUGACGGUAAUGGGUAAAGAAGCACCGGCUAACUACGUG